UACGGGGGGGGCAAGCGUUGCUCGGAAUUACUGGGCGUAAAGGGCUCGUAGGCGGCCAACUAAGUCGGAUGUGAAAUCCCCAGGCUUAACCUGGGAACUGCAUCCGAUACUGGAUGGCUUGAAUCCGGGAGAGGGAUGCAGAAUUCCAGGUGUAGCGGUGAAAUGCGUAGAUAUCUGGAGGAAUACCGGUGGCGAAGGCGGCAUCCUGGACCGGCAUUGACGCUGAUGAGCGAAAGCUAGGGGAGCAAACGGG
rnacentral:rRNA from 1 species